rnacentral:rRNA from 1 species
UAAAAUAAUUAAGGGCACACAAAGGAUGCCUAGGUAGUAAGAGCCGAUGAAGGACGUGGUAAGCUGCGAUAAGCCUAGAUAAGUUGCAAUCGAACGUAAGAGUCUAGGAUUUCCGAAUGGAGCAAUCUAUUAAGAUGGAGUCUUAAUACGAAAGAGGGAACCACGUGAACUGAAACAUCUAAGUAACGUGAGGAAAAGAAAGUAAAAACGAUACCCAAAGUAGCGGCGAGCGAACUGGGUCAAGCCUAAACCUUAAAUAUGUCAAGGAUACAGCCGUUGUAUUUAAGGGGUUGAGGGACAAAGUAGUGAAGAACUGUAAGAUAUUCAAUAUAGUGUAUUGAUGAAUUAGAAUUGUAUGGAAAGAUAAACCGCAGAAGGUGAGAGUCCUGUAUAAGUAAAUCCUUACACAUAUAACUUUGCUCCCAAGUAACAUGGAACACGAGGAAUUCUGUGUGAAUCAGUGAGGACCAUAUCUCAUAAGGCUAAAUACUCUUACUAACCGAUAGCGCAUAGUACCGUGAGGGAAAGGUGAAAAGAACCCCUGGAGGGGAGUGAAAUAGAACCUGAAAUUGUGUGCUUACAAGCGGUCAGAGCCCAUUUGGGUGAUGGCGUGCCUUUUGGAGAAUGAUCCUGCGAGUUACGUUAAACGGCGAGGUUAAGUAUAACGGAGCCGAAGGGAAACCAAGUCUUAAUAGGGCGAUAUAGUCGUUUGGCGUAGACGCGAAACCUGGUGAUCUAAACCUGUCCAGGAUGAAGCUGUGGUAAGACACAGUGGAGGUCCUAACCCACCGCCGUUGAAAAGUUGGGGGAUGAGGUAGGUUUAGGGGUGAAAAGCCAAUCGAACCAGGAGAUAGCUCGUUCUCUCCGAAAUGCAUCUAGGUGCAGCCUUGAGUGUUCAAUUAUGGGGGUAGAGCACUGAAUGAUCUAGGGGGCAUAUUGCUUACUGAAAUCAAUCAAACUCCAAAUACCAUAAUUUAUAGCUCAGGAGUGAGACCAUGGGAGUUAACUUCCAUUGUCAAAAGGGAAACAACCCAGACCACCAGCUAAGGUCCCUAAUUAUAACUAAGUGGGAAAGGAGGUGGAGAUUCACAAACAACUAGGAGGUUGGCUUAGAAGCAGCCAUACCUUUAAAGAGUGCGUAAUAGCUCACUAGUCGAGAGUCUCUGCGCCGACAAUGUAACGGGGCUAAGUUAUAAACCGAAGCUGUGGAAUCCUUAUGGAUUGGUAGGAGAGCGUUCUGUAGGCUGUUGAAGAAGAAGGGUAACCAACUUUGGAGGUAUCAGAAGUGAGAAUGCAGGAAUAAGUAGCGAGAAAGGGGGCGAGAAUCCCCCUCGCCGGAAGACCAAGGUUUUCAGGGUAAAGCUUGUCUUCCCUGAGUAAGCCGGGACCUAAGCCCAGGCUAUAAUGCGUAGGCGAAUGGAAAACAGAUUAAUAUUUCUGUGCCAGUCAUUUAUUGUGAUGGAGGGACGCAGAAGGGUAUGUGCGCGGACGAUCGGUUGUGUCCGUAGAAGUAUGUAGGGUGACUUAGUAGGUAAAUCCAUUAAGUUAUAUCUGAGGUAUGAUAUACAGUCGUAAGAUGAAUGUACAAAUCCCACGCUGCCAAGAAAAACUUCUAACGUUAAUAUAUGACUGCCCGUACUGUAAACCGACACAGGUGGUCAGGAUGAGAAAUCUAAGGCGGACAGGCUAACUCUCGUUAAGGAACUCUGCAAAAUAACCUCGUAACUUCGGGAGAAGAGGAGCCCUUGUGUGUGAGUAUACACGCGAUACAAAGCGCACGAGGGUCGCAGUGAAGAGGCUCAAGCAACUGUUUAACAAAAACACAGGUCUAUGCUAAGCUGUAAGGCGAUGUAUAUGGGCUGACACCUGCCCAGUGCUGGAAGGUUAAGAGGAGGAGUGAGAGCUCCGAAUUGAAGCCCCAGUGAACGGCGGCCGUAACUAUAACGGUCCUAAGGUAGCGAAAUUCCUUGUCGGGUAAGUUCCGACCUGCACGAAUGGUGUAAUGAUUUGAGCGCUGUCUUGACGGGAGGCCUGGUGAAAUUGUAUUACCGGUGAAGAUACCGGUUACCUACAGUAGGACGGAAAGACCCCAUGGAGCUUUACUGUAGCUUGGUAUUGGGUUUUGGCAUUGCAUGUAUAGGAUAGUUGGGAGACUAUGAUGGUAUGGCGCUAGCUGUAUCGGAGUCAUCGGUGGAAUACCAACCAUUCAAUGCUGAAAUUCUAAUCUGUGGUUUGUCGCCACGGAGACAGUGCUAGGUGGGCAGUUUGACUGGGGCGGUCGCCUCCGAAAGAGUAACGGAGGCGUUCAAAGGUUCUCUCAGGUUGGAUGGA